GUCCUAUUGUUAAUAAUUUUAGGUCUGGCCUGCCCAAUGAAUUUUUAAUGGCCGCGGUAUUUUGACCGUGCAAAGGUAGCAUAAUCAUUAGUUUUUUAAUUGAAAGCUUGUAUGAAGGGUUGGAUGAGAAAAUAGCUGUCUCUAUUUAAUUUUUAUAGAAAUUUAUUUUUAAGUAAAAAAGCUUAAAUUUUUAUAGAAGACGAGAAGACCCUAUAGAGUUUUAUAAUUUUAUUAAUGAAUUUUAUUUUAGAAUUUUAUUUUUUAUUUAUAAAGUUAUUUAGUUGGGGUGAUUAAAAAAUUUAAGAAACUUUUUUUGUAUUGAAUCAUUAAUUUAUGUAAAUUUGAUCCUUUAUUAAAGAUUAUAAGAUAAAAUUACCUUAGGGAUAACAGCGUAAUUUUUUUUUAGAGUUCUAAUCGAAAAAAAAGAUUGCGACCUCGAUGUUGGAUUAAAAGAAAUUAUUGGUGUAGAAGCUAAUAAAUUGGGUCUGUUCGACCUUUAAAAUUUUACAUGAUCUGAGUUUAAACCGGUGUGAG
rnacentral:rRNA from 1 species